AACGAACGCUGGCGGCAGGCCUAACACAUGCAAGUCGAACGCUCCGCAAGGGGAGUGGCAGACGGGUGAGUAACACGUGGGAAUCUUCCUAUCGGUACGGAAUAGCUCAGGGAAACUUGGGGUAAUACCGCAUACGCCCUUCGGGGGAAAGAUUUAUCGCCGAUAGAUGAGCCCGCGUCUGAUUAGCUAGUUGGUGAGGUAAUGGCUCACCAAGGCGACGAUCAGUAGCUGGUUUGAGAGAAUGACCAGCCUCACUGGGACUGAGACACGGCCCAGACUCCUACGGGAGGCAGCAGUGGGGAAUCUUGGACAAUGGGCGCAAGCCUGAUCCAGCCAUGCCGCGUGAGUGACGAAGGUCUUCGGAUUGUGAAGCUCUUUUGCCAGGGACGAUAAUGACGGUACCUGGAGAAUAAGCCCCGGCUAACUUCGUGCCAGCAGCCGCAGUAA
rnacentral:rRNA from 1 species